GCCGUUGAUGGCUUCGCCCAUGCUCUUGUAAUCAAGAAGGUCCGCCUUCCAAAGUGUUAACCUUUCAUUUGCUCCUUCAAGCUUCUUUAGCCUUUCUGGAGGAGAAGUUUAACGAGCCAGGAAGCGAUGAAGCCUCCGGCGCCGGUGACGCAGACGACUUGGCCGGAAAUCGACGGCAUGGUUUCUUUUCAGGUGGGUGUAUGGAUAUGAUGAUGUUGUUGAAAGAGAAAGGAGAUAUAUGGGCAUGGUGCGCAGUAUAUAUAUUAUAUAUAGUAAAGUCCCCUUAGCUUCCCUCACCAACUACGUUUGCAAACUCUAUAAACUAAUUCCCUUUUUAGAAUUAUUUAAAAAUUUUAAAAAUAUAGUGUCAAUAUUUUACUCUUAAUAUAAGAUCAAAUAAUGGUUUAUAUAUA